rnacentral:rRNA from 1 species
GACGAACGCUGGCGGCGUGCUUAACACAUGCAAGUCGAACGGAAAGGCCCCUUUGGGGGUACUCGAGUGGCGAACGGGUGAGUAACACGUGAGUAACCUGCCCUUGACUUCGGGAUAACUUCAGGAAACUGGGGCUAAUACCGGAUAGGAAUCCUUGCUGCAUGGUGGGGGUUGGAAAGCUUCGGCGGUUUUGGAUGGACUCGCGGCUUAUCAGCUUGUUGGUGGGGUAGUGGCUUACCAAGGCUUUGACGGGUAGCCGGCCUGAGAGGGCGACCGGCCACAUUGGGAAUGAGAUAAGGCCCAGACUCCUACGGGAGGCAGCAGUGGGGAAUAUUGCAAAAAGGGCGGAAGCCUGAUGCAGCAACGCCGCGUGCGGGAUGACGGCCUUCGGGUUGUAAACCGCUUUCAGCAGGGGCGAAGCUUGUGGUGACGGUACCUGCAGAAGAAGCACCGGCUAACUACGUG